UACCUUAGUAACGGCGAGUGAAGCGGUAACAGCUCAAAUUUGAAAUCUGGGUCUUUUAGGCUCCGAGUUGUAAUUUGUAGAAGAUGCUUUGGGUGCGGCCCCGGUCUAAGUUCCUUGGAACAGGACGUCAUAGAGGGUGAGAAUCCCGUAUGUGAUCGGUGGCUUGCGCCCGUGUAAAGCUCUUUCGACGAGUCGGGUUGUUUGGGAAUGCAGCUCUAAAUGGGUGGUAAAUUUCAUCUAAAGCUAAAUAUUGGCCAGAGACCGAUAGCGCACAAGUAGAGUGAUCGAAAGAUGAAAAGCACUUUGGAAAGAGAGUUAAACAGUACGUGAAAUUGUUGAAAGGGAAGCGCUUGCAACCAGACUUGCGCGGGGUUGAUCAUCCGGGGUUCUCCCCGGUGCACUCGGCCUCGCUCAGGCCAGCAUCGGUUUUGGUGGUUGGAUAAAGGCCUUGGGAAUGUGACUUCUUUCGGGGAGUGUUAUAGCCCUCGGUGCAAUGCAGCCUACCGGGACCGAGGACCGCGCUUCGGCUAGGAUGCUGGCGUAAUGGUUGUAAGCGACCCGUCUUGAAACACGGACCAAGGAGUCUAACAUCUAUGCGAGUGUUUGGGUGUCAAACCCAUACGCGUAAUGAAAGUGAACGGAGGUGAGAACCCUUAAGGGUGCAUCAUCGACCGAUCCUGAUGUCUUCGGAUGGAUUUGAGUAAGAGCAUAGCUGUUGGGACCCGAAAGAUGGUGAACUAUGCCUGAAUAGGGUGAAGCCAGAGGAAACUCUGGUGGAGGCUCGCAGCGGUUCUGACGUGCAAAUCGAUCGUCAAAUUUGGGCAUA
rnacentral:rRNA from 1 species